rnacentral:rRNA from 1 species
AAACGACUAUCGGCAACGGAUAUCUCGGCUCUCGCAUCGAUGAAGAACGUAGCGAAAUGCGAUACUUGGUGUGAAUUGCAGAAUCCCGUGAACCAUCGAGUCUUUGAACGCAAGUUGCGCCCCAAGCCUUCUGGCCGAGGGCACGUCUGCCUGGGUGUCACA